rnacentral:rRNA from 1 species
AGAGUUUGAUCAUGGCUCAGAUUGAACGCUGGCGGCAGGCCUAACACAUGCAAGUCGAACGGUAGCACAGAGAGCUUGCUCUUGGGUGACGAGCGGCGGACGGGUGAGUAAUGUAUGGGGAUCUGCCCGAUAGAGGGGGAUAACUACUGGAAACGGUAGCUAAUACCGCAUAAUCUCUAAGGAGCAAAGCAGGGGAACUUCGGUCCUUGCGCUAUCGGAUGAACCCAUAUGGGAUUAGCUAGUAGGUGGGGUAAUGGCUCACCUAGGCGACGAUCCCUAGCUGGUCUGAGAGGAUGACCAGCCACACUGGAACUGAGACACGGUCCAGACUCCUACGGGAGGCAGCAGUGGGGAAUAUUGCACAAUGGGCGCAAGCCUGAUGCAGCCAUGCCGCGUGUAUGAAGAAGGCCUUCGGGUUGUAAAGUACUUUCAGCGAGGAGGAAGGCAUUAAGGUUAAUAACCUUGGUGAUUGACGUUACUCGCAGAAGAAGCACCGGCUAACUCCGUGCCAGCAGCCGCGGUAAUUC